AUAAGAACACAUGAGAAAAGUUGUAUUCAUUUUACUCCAAAGAAUUCCUAUGAAAAUAUAGUAUGCAAGUUGAUUUAAAUGUGAUAAACACAACACGAAUUAAAAGGAAGAAAUCGUGGGCAAAAGUAACAUGGAUAGGAAAGG